CUGAAGUAGAAAUCAUGGAAAGUUGAUUUUCGCGACCAAUCAGCAGCCCGUAAAAUAUUCUCUAGACGACAACCAACCGCUGAACCCUUAGAUGCCAUGGCUCCCCACACUGAAUGUGGCGUAAAAAUCAACAUGUCAAUUCCAGCCAAAGAUAACAGCCAACAAACCCAACACGCCAACGUAGGAGUCGACACGGGGAGAAGAGGAGUGCAGAAGGAAAUGAAUAGAGGGUGAAGAUCCGAUUAUCGCAGGCAUCGAGUAGCAUCCACAUAUGUCUUCAAACAUUUUACCGGGCAUAGUACCGGGAUGCCCUGGAAACUAGGAUAAACAAAGAAUUUCGAGGCUGACUUCGUCCUCCUGGAGAUUUUAAAGGAAAUACCCUCCGGGGUAAAUGUAACAGCAUCCCAAUCAAGUUCCCUGACAUCUGACACUCGCUUGCAGGAAAUCAAGCAGCACAACAUC